CCUACGGGUGGCAGCAGUGGGGAAUAUUGGACAAUGGGGGCAACCCUGAUCCAGCCAUGCCGCGUGUGUGAAGAAGGCCCUCGGGUUGUAAAGCACUUUCAGUGAGGAAGAACGCCUGGUGGUUAAUACCCAUCAGGAAAGACAUCACUCACAGAAGAAGCACCGGCUAACACCGUGCCAGCAGCCGCGGUAAUACGGAGGGUGCGAGCGUUAAUCGGAAUUACUGGGCGUAAAGCGCGCGUAGGUGGCUUGAUAAGCCGGUUGUGAAAGCCCCGGGCUCAACCUGGGAACGGCAUCCGGAACUGUCAAGCUAGAGUGCAGGAGAGGAAGGUAGAAUUCCCGGUGUAGCGGUGAAAUGCGUAGAGAUCGGGAGGAAUACCAGUGGCGAAGGCGGCCUUCUGGACUGACACUGACACUGAGGUGCGAAAGCGUGGGUAGCAAACAGGAUUAGAUACCCUGGUAGUC
rnacentral:rRNA from 1 species